rnacentral:rRNA from 1 species
CUACGGGAUGCUGCAGUGAGGAAUAUUGCACAAUGGGGGGAACCCUGAUGCAGCAACGCCGCGUGGAGGAUGACGCAUUUCGGUGUGUAAACUCCUUUUAUAUGUCAAGAAAAUGACGGUAGCAUAUGAAUAAGCACCGGCUAACUCCGUGCCAGCAGCCGCAGUAAUACGGGAGGGUGCAAGCGUUACUCGGAAUCACUGGGCGUAAAGGACGCGUAGGCGGGUUGGAAAGUCAGGUGUGAAAUCCUACAGCUUAACUGUAGAACUGCACUUGAAACUUCUAAUCUAGAGUAUGGGAGGGGGAGAUGGAAUUAGUGGUGUAGGGGUAAAAUCCGUAGAUAUCACUAGGAAUACCUAAAGCGAAGGCGAUCUCCUGGAACAUUACUGACGCUAAGGCGUGAAAGCGUGGGGAGCAAACAGGAUUAGAUACCCGAGUAAUC